AGCAUAUUUUGAAAAAUGUGUUCUAAAAAAGUAUAAUUCAGGCUUCUCCAAAACAAUUAAGUUUCCUUUCAGUGGUCUGAUAUAAACGUGUUUCUUUCAUUCAUGCAGGAACUCACUGGAGUCAUGUGUGACAUCUCCCAAGCAGAUGACCAAGAUGGUGACUGGUUAUCAAACUCUGGUAACUUAUGGUUAGAGGUAGCUUGCUGCUACCAAUCAUCCAUUCUAUGUGGAGUCCAAGGAUCUGGAUAAAAGUCAGUGAUAGAAGAUAGACCGCAAACUCUUCUUAACAAGAUGAGACAAUAGUCUCACAUAACAAGAAUCCUUUAUGUUCAGAUCAAGCAAAUUCUUCCUUGUGAUCAUGUGUUGAAUCUGUGGAUCUUCGAGUCAUGUGCUGCUUAUCACCAUUUUCUUCAAGCAAAUCUUUUGAAACGUUUCAGUUGAAGCAUACAAACUCUUUACUUUAGCUUGGUAAUUAAACUGGAAGUUUUCAUUCACCUGUGUAGUUGAUUUCACAUUCUUGGUUGAUUUAUUGGGAAUGUUGCUGCCAAUCAGCAGGUACUGACAAAGGUGUUGAAACCAAGACAUAUUGGUCGGCUCAAAAGUGGGGAGUGUUGAUUGUCAACAGCCUACAGAAUUUCAACCAUACAAGCUAUUGGUGUUGUGCAUUACUUUUUAAUCUUUUUAUUUCACCUGGGCCAUAGAGGUUUGUUUGUAGACUAUAACCUCUGUUCCUUCAACCAUAGUAUUUGAUUUGAUCUGACAGCAUAUUAACAUUUGUUCCUGUAUCAAGCGUAACUGUAACAAGAUGUUG